GACGAACGCUGGCGGCGUGCUUAACACAUGCCAGUCGAACGGAAAGGCCCUGCUUUUGUGGGGUGCUCGAGUGGCGAACGGGUGAGUAACACGUGAGUAACCUGCCCUUGACUUUGGGAUAACUUCAGGAAACUGGGGCUAAUACCGGAUAGGAGCUCCUGCUGCAUGGUGGGGGUUGGAAAGUUUCGGCGGUUGGGGAUGGACUCGCGGCUUAUCAGCUUGUUGGUGGGGUAGGGGUUUACCAAGGCUUUGACGGGUAGCCGGCCUGAGAGGGGGACCGGCCACAAGGGGACUGAGAGACGGCCCAGACGCCUACGGGAGGCAGCAGUGGGGAAUAUUGCACAAUGGGCGGAAGCCUGAUGCAGCAACGCCGCGUGCGGGAUGACGGCCUUCGGGUUGUAAACCGCUUUCGCCUGUGACGAAGCGUGAGUGACGGUAAUGGGUAAAGAAGCACCGGCUAACUACGUG
rnacentral:rRNA from 1 species